CAAAAAAAAGCAUUAGUUUAGAUGCGUUUCGCUUACAUUGAAAAGAUGACUUUAGUAGUCUUUUUUGA
rnacentral:tRNA from 1 species